rnacentral:rRNA from 1 species
UACGGGGGGAGCAAGCGUUGUUCGGAUUUACUGGGCGUAAAGGGCGCGUAGGCGGUCAGCACAAGUCAGUUGUGAAAUCUCCGGGCUUAACUCGGAAAGGUCAACUGAUACUGUGCGACUAGAGUGCAGAAGGGGCAACUGGAAUUCUCGGUGUAGCGGUGAAAUGCGUAGAUAUCGAGAGGAACACCUGCGGCGAAGGCGGGUUGCUGGGCUGACACUGACGCUGAUGCGCGAAAGCCAGGGGGGCGAACGGG